UACAGAGGUCUCAAGCGUUUGUUCGGAAUCACUGGGCGUAAAGGGUGCGUAGGCUGCGGAGAAAGUCUGGUGUGAAAUUUGCGAGCUCAACUCGCAACUAGCACCUGAUACUACUUUGCUAGAGAUCUGGAGAGGAGCUUGGAAUUCUCGGUGUAGCAGUGAAAAUGCGUAGAUUUCGAGAAAGAACGCUCGCUGCGAAAAGCGAAAGCUCUGGCCCAGAUUUCUGACGCUGAGGCACGAAGGCUAGGGGGAGCAAAACGGGG
rnacentral:rRNA from 1 species